rnacentral:rRNA from 1 species
UACGGAGGGUGCAAGCGUUAUCCGGAUUCACUGGGUUUAAAGGGUGCGUAGGUGGGUUGGUAAGUCAGUGGUGAAAUCUCCGAGCUUAACUUGGAAACUGCCAUUGAUACUAUCAGUCUUGAAUACCGUGGAGGUCAGCGGAAUAUGUCAUGUAGCGGUGAAAUGCUUAGAUAUGACAUAGAACACCAAUUGCGAAGGCAGCUGACUACGCGAAUAUUGACACUGAAUGCACGAAAGCGUGGGGGAUCAAAACAGG